AAGGAUUGAUUUUGUACAUACUGAGCACUUUAUAUUUUGGACAAAAAUAUGGUUGGAGAGAAAAAAAAAAUGUUUCAACAGUUUACCAUUAUAGGGGCAACUCUAUCCCUUACAUGGUUCAAAAUAUAAUCAAAGUUUCAUGGAUUUUUUUUUUUGUUUUCUUCAUUAUUUAGUUGAUGAAUUUCUUAAACCUACCAUGAGUUACAUAACAUGUAAUGUAAUCACAAAAGAGAAUGUGGUGGAGGGGUUGUGACGUGGGACGGAAAAAGUCAAGGUGUGACCCAAUGAUAAAUGCCAAAUUAAGUUUAAUAUCGCCUAGAAAUUUUUUUUCUUCAUCUAAUUAGAUUUAGUAUCAAUUAGGAAAUAUUUUCCUUCUUUCUAACUAGAUGUAAUAUUUAUUGGAAAUAUAUCCCGGUCCUUUUGAUGUAUUCCACGUUCUUUUGACGUAAAUCAAACAAUAUGAUAAAUUCAUUAACAAUUCCUCCCUUGCAAGAACAAAAAAAAAACACAAUCUAUUAUAAAUUCAUCCAUUUGACAAUGUAUUUUGUGGAUUUUGUUUGCUGCCAAGUUUUUUUUAAUCCUUUUCUUAGUAGAAAAUAGUGAAACGUAAGAAGUCAAAAGGGAAAGAAAUAAUUUGAAUCAAAAACUUCAAAGCCUCCGGACUUAUUGCAACAAAGCUGGGGUUACUUUUGUCAUGCAUUAUUUACACCAAAUAGAAACUAGGACUUCUUGUCGAUCUAUGUUUCCAGCUACGCUAAUUCAGAAAUGCAAAAAAUUGUUUUGCAAUUUUAGUCUCCAGGUUGUCAUGGUCGAAAUCGAUAUGUUCAAAUACUCAAAGUUGGAAAAAUAUUGGGAUAGCGGUUGCGGAUUCUUUGUCACAAAAAAUGUUGGGAAAAUUAUUCUUACCUGUUCGGAGUUGUUAUAGCAAAAUUGGUCCAACGCCUCUCACUUGAAAGCCACCUGAUUAUCCGGCCAUCGGAAAUGCCAGUGUAUGGGCCGCCACCGUAUCUAUCAAACACCACACUCUCGAGUCCAGUGGCAUUGAUAAUGGGAAAUUUUUCAGACCCUAGAAUCUGACAAUCUUUUGGUCCAGGACUACAACUCACGACUUCAAAACCAACUGAGAUUGAUACCGCUAUGGUAAGGAUGGUUGAAGCUGCCCAAAAGAGCUUGGAACCCAUGGACUUCAGGAAGGUACCUCGAAUGAAAAUCUAAAGGCGGUCGGAAGUGUUUGUUUGCCUUUGGGGUCAGACUAUCAGCUGCUCCAGCUCGAAAUGCUUAUAGGAAAGUUUGUAUAUGGAAGGGUCAAAGGAAAACCAAAAAGUCCACAUUAUGGUAGGAUAGUUCGACUUUUAAAUUCUCCUCUCUUAUUGUCAAGUAAUUUCUUAAUUACGUAAUUCUUUUAAUAGAAAAAGGGCGGAAUUUCAUUAACUAUCAAUUAAAACCGUUUAUUAAUAUUGGAGUUCUUUUGGAUCUAUUUUGAUAGAUCUCAUCAUUAAUAUUGGAGUUUAAAACCGUUUAUUAGCAAAAACUGUUUAUUAACAAUCCGUUGAUGAAAACUAUUCUUUAUAAAAAAAAAAACCAAAAAAAUUUUGGAGGAUCACUCCACCAAAUCCCAAUGGGAAAAUUCUGCAAUCGGAUUAGGAUAUCAGCAAAAGACAGAGAUUAGUUUUAACGGAAGAAAUAAUCAAAAUUACACUCCAACCAACAAAAGUUUUUUUUUUUUUUUUAAAUACUCCAAACACAAGGCCACUUGUUUGUAUAAAAGCCAAAAGAUUCUUUCUUUUGGUUUAUCUCUUUAUUUGCUUUUCCAAAGGGUCAACUUAUUGUGGUUAUCAAAGGUCGUUUGUCCUUUGAACAAGUCAAGAGUCGUUUAACAAAGGUCGUUUGAACAAGUCAAGAGUCGUUUAUUAAAGGACGUUUGUCCUUUGAACAAGUCAAGAGUCGUUUAACAAAGGUCGUGUAUCUGUAUUAUAAAUAGAUGAGCCUUAUCUGAGGAAAGGAUCAUCAGACUUUGUAUCAGAAGUUCAUAUCAAUAAAUCCCAGAGUGUUUCUAUAAAAAUGAGAGCCUAAGUUUUCUUUUAUUUCCUUAAACACGGCAAUGAUACAUGGCUAAAGGGGUAUCCAAAAUCGCUUCAUAAAAGUCCCUUGAUCGUUGAAAAGCAUAUCUUCCCCUUAUAUUAUUCUUGCACAAUUUCCGUUGGAUGAGUUGGAAACUUGAAGAACUUAUUAAAAAAAAAUUGAAUUAUCACUUCCCAUAUGAUAUGAAUUCAUUUGUCUAAUGGAUAAAAAUCAAAGGUUAUCAUCGAUUGAAAUGUUUAAGCAGUUUGUAUUAGAUUAUAUUGUUGCUUGGACAAACAAAGUUUAAGAACGUCACAAUUACUAUUUAGGCCGGCUUGCAUAUGGGCUGUCUAUUUAAACAUUAAGCAUUAAAAUCCACGAGAUGUUUAAAGAAAAAAAAAUGAUGAAAAGAUUCAAAAUCUUACUAUAGGCUACAUGGAGUCUUGGCUUGAAAAAAAUUUUUUUUUUUUUGCCUUUUUUGAGAAAAUGGUAACUUUGUCUAACAAAGCUAAAAAAGACAAAUUAGUUACUUAAGGGCCUUCUUGGUAAUGUUGGUAUCAUUUCUUUCCUAUUUUCUACUAUAAAUCAAAUAGAAAACUUGUACAGUAUUUAAUGAAAAAACUUAAAAUGUGUUUCAUUCGUAACACCAAGUACCUGUGAUUAAAUGCUAUUUAUCAAUUUAUGGGAUGCAACUGAAAUUUACAACACCAGUUGGUGCGUUAAGACGGCAUGCUCUGAAAGGCGUAUUGGGUUUGGUGUGAGGGUAGGAGGUGCGUGGGUAGGCUUGUUAGUGGGACUAUCUCGCACGAAUUCAAGCCACUUAGCCUGCUGAAAUAGGGUUAGGCUUCACUUGAAUUAGGGUUGGACCGAGUUAGGAUCUAAAGUUAGUGCCAAAUUAAAAAUAAAGUUGGGUUGGACCAAAUUAGGCUCAACCUAUAUGAGGCUUGACAAGAUUAAUUAAUAACAUCAAAUGCUAAUGGAUGUUCAGCACUCCUAUUUUUGAGGUGUUUUAGAGGGCCAAAUUUUUUUCUAAAAGAUCACUUAUGUAAUCAUCUAAAACACAAGGCCAGCUAGGAUGGUGUGUUUUAAAGAAGUUUGUCAAAAUUUUUAUUGUGAUUUACUGUAGAAUUUUUACAAGAACUUUCAUAAUUUUUGAGUAUUGAGAAGAUGGUUGUAGAACCCAACCACUGACUGCCAUCACACCUACUCCAUACUGCCAACAAUCUCCAUCACAAUAUCACACCCAUCCCAUCUCCUAGCCUGCCACCUACGCCUACAAACAACCUCACUACCACUCCUACCAUCCAACUCUUUUUCCUUCUCCUCGCCUCCUCAACCCUUUCUCGCCUGCUAUUCCUCCUCCUUAUCCUCCUCUUCUUCUCCCCCCACCUCUUUAUCCUCUCUCCAGCAUCUUCUUCUUCUCCAACUAUUGCUAUUUCUCAACCAAAUGAAGGAGGGAGGGAAACUGGUGGGCGAGAGAGAGAAUAUGGAGCUAAGAGACUAAGAGAGGAAAGAAAGGAGGAAUAGGUGGAAGAAAUAAAGGAUAAGGCAAGAAAAAGGAAGAGAGGGAAAGAAAAAAGGCACGUGACAGUGGUGGGGGAGGAAACGGUAGUGGGGGAUGAUGGUAGUAAUAGGGAAGGUAGUAAUGAAGGGGUGGCAAUGGUGAUAGUUGGGAUAUGUGUUUUUCUGCUAUAAUUUUUUAAAAAUUUGUGGGUUUUUUAAAGGAUAAUUGUAGAUGGAUCAUGGAUCUAUAUGGAUUAGAUUUUUUUAGGAUUUUUUUUUUAAAAACUAUACUAUAACGUUGUAUUUCUAAAAAUUUCUACUUUAGAUGAGUCCACAUAGGUUAGGUGUUUUGAGAAUGUAUUUUAGAGUGCUUUUAAAAUUAAAAUUUUAUUAGAGUAUUUUUAAAAAUUUAUUAAAUAUUCACUGCCAUUAUAAGCUACCUCCCACCACUGUCCCUUCCCUACUCCCUCCUCUAUUGCCAUCAACAUUCCUCCCCCUUCUCUAUUCUCCCUCUUCCUCUUCCUCCCCCUCGCUCCUUCUCCAUCUUUCUCCUUCUUUCCUCUCCUCUCCCUUCUCCUCCCCUCUUUUGGGAGAGAGGAGGAAAGGAAGAGAAAAAGGGAGAAGAGAUGAGGGGGAAUGGUGGUGGCAAUAGAAAAGGGAGGGUGGUGUGUGAUGGAUGAAAGAAGAAAAAGGUGGUUUGAUUUAUUUUAUUUUUUAAAUUCUUUAAUAUUUUGUUAGGUAUAUUUGAAAUUGUUGUAUAAGGAGUAUGUUAUUAUAAUAUUGUAUUUGAAAAUUUUGAUUAAAAAUAAGGCAAUUUAAACAGAAAAAUUUGAUUAUUAUAAUAUUGUAUUUGAAAAAAUAAGGCUUAGAAAAAAAAUUUGUCUUUCUAAACUAGGCCUAAGUACCCGACAAGUUUUAGAAAAACAUCAAAAAAAAAAACAUUAAAAAGACCACCUCCAAUGCCAACACUUCACCACCACUGCCACUCUCUAUCACCACCGCCUUCCUCCCUUUUACUCCUCUAUUGACCUUCUCUCUGCCUCCUCCUUCUUCCCUUUCUCCUCCUCUCCCUUUCUCCUCCCUCCUUCUUCCCUUCUUCCUGUGACCUCCGUUCCCCAUAUAAAAUUCAAGCUAGCCGGAUCUUGACUUGAUGUCUACCUGAAUAAAUGACCUCAGAUAAGGCCUCAUAUACAUGUGAGAUUUAAAGGUUCGACUUUGGACUAGCAUGUAUGACCUUUUUGUUGUAUGGGCUUGGGCCCUUAUAAACCCAAAAUAAAUGAGUCAAGUGAUAGGUUGAACUCGUUUGUGACGAGUAGAGUGGGCUUUGGUGUAGUAGAAAUACAAUGUAAUAAAGAACGGAAAUUAUGUGGAAAUAAGAAUAAAUGAUAUACAUCUUUGAUCUAUUAAAAUUUAUAUUUAGAAAACAAUCCUGCUCUUAUAAACGUUUCUCGAUUUCGUAAAAUACAAAAACUUUAAUAAAAGCAUAAAAAACACGAAACCUAAACGUAAUUUUAUGGCCCCUUUAGUUCCAAUAUUUUACUCCAUUAGAUAUAUUUGACAUGGAAUAUACAGCAGAAGUUGCAAUGUACAUAAUUAUAGAUGUGCAAGAAAAGAAGCUUCAUUACUGGACAAGUUGGCAUGAUUACCUAAAAAUGACUCUCGUAUCAUCAUAGUCACCAUAAUUUUGAGAGUUACAUACAUGCACAAAAUCGUACUUUUACCUUCAAAUACUUGAGAUAUUAACAAAAUCAAAAUUUUCACUUCUAACGCCUUGAGAUAUUAAAAAAUAAAAUAUUAUUAAAAUUUUAAGGACAAGGAGAGAUACAAGCAGAAAUUUACCAAUUAAAGCAUAUUUUGGGGCAUUCAACCAUAUAUUGUUUUGAUGCAAGCAUCAUUUCUAACGGCAAUUAAUGUACAAGAGACAUUUGUUUAUUUGAUAAAAGUUUUGAUAUUUAAGGUGUUGACUGUAAUUUGGUCAAAAGUUAUAGGGUUUGUUUGAUAAUUAAUUUAAUCAAAUCUCAAGAAAGGUAAAUGUAGUUAACAUUUAAAUUCAAAUGAUAACAGAAAUAAUGAACAAGUAUAGGUGACAUAACGUGUAUCUAAAGCUUCAUACUUAGGUGUAAUAACAAAUAGGGUUACAAAUUAAAUUAGCAAUUGCAAAACAAUAAAACAAAAAUUCAAAUAUAAAAAAAAUGACAGCAAAGUAUUAAAAAUUAUACCUUUGUUCACUCCAUUUCCAAAGGGUGGUGGUCUUUGGCAAGAGUAUCAAAUAGUGAGACUUUUGAAAGAAUGUUGUUAGUGAAUGUAAUCUUUAAAAAGUUAUUCAGUGAAUGCAACUUUUUGAGGAAUAAAUGCUUAAAAAAAUUAAAACACGCAUUCUAUGAUGCAACUUUUAAGGAAACAUUGCAUUAAGCAAAUACGUGUUUCAUCCUUUAGGAUGAGGUAUGAAAACUGUUGCCUUUUGAGAAGUUCUUUUAAAAGGGGGCAAAUAGUCUAUUUGACCGUCAAACUUUAACAAUAUUAUAAUUUUAGCCCUCUAAUUAUAAUUUGUAUAUUUUUAGACCUUGAACUAUUAAAAAUAUAUAUUUAUACCUCUUUUAUCAAUUUGAACCGUGAAAUCUAAUGGAACUAGCUCAAAAUGAUGUCAUUUUGAUUUUUGUUCCUCCAAUUGAGUCCUAAUUGAUACAACUAUUUACCACCGGCAACAGCUAUUGACCAUUGUUGAUUGAGAGUUUACCAUUACUUUAUCAUUGUCAAAAUUUGAUCAAAUUGUAUCCAACACUUCGGUUAUGACAUAGAUUCCAAAUUUAAAUGAAUUUCAGUAAAUAAGAGUAUAUCUUGAGUCAAAGACGAUAGUUCUAUUAUCAUAUUACACAUCAUUUACCAAUUCUUUUGAAUUUUAUACUAAAAUGUUACUUGGAGCAUGAAGAAUUCAAAUCAACAAAGAAUUUGGCAUGAAAUACUCCGAACUUUUUUAAUUCAAUUUUGCACCAUCUAAGCUUUUUUCAGUUAAUUCAAGACCCAGUAGAUGUCAAACUUUUCAAUACUUUAUACGGAUGAACUACUCAUAUUAUGAAGAUUCUAGAUAUAUGACAUACAUAUUCUAAUUUAUGUUCAAUUAAAAGCCCUAAUUUGUAGUUGCUCUAUUUUCUAUUCUAGCAGAGAAAACUUUCUAUUUUGCUUUGUAUGUGGCAGGUGAUGCUCUUUCCAUCAAUUUUAACACCUCAAACUGACAAAAGGGCUAUUAGUAUUAGGGUUGGUAAUUUCCGACACGACCUAAAAACACGACACAAACCUAACACGAAAUUAAUGGGUUUGGGUUGAGGUUUUUCCGGUUCGGGUCAGAAUCGAGUCGAACCCGAAAAGAAAGCGGGUCGACAUCGAGUCAGCCCAUGGGUGGCCCGAUAUGACCCAAUAACCCGUUUAUGAAUUAAAAAUAAUUUAAUAAACAUAAAAAUUAUUUUAUCUAACUAAACUAAGUUAUUCUUUUUUUCCAAAAGCAUUCAUCACUUAAUCCUAAAUGAAUUUAUUUAACUUGUGUGAAGUUGAAAUUAUUAUAUUUGGACAAAUAAUGUAUUAUAUUAUUUUUUACUUUUAUACUGUUUUAAUUUAUUUUAUAUUUGGUUUGGGAUAAAACACUUUUACCGUGUUUUAAUUUAUUUUAGAUUUGGUUUGGGAUUAUUUAUUUAAAAUUUUAUUACUUGAUUAUGUAAUUAGUCUUGUGCGAAAUUGGUUUUAUUAGAAAUUACAGUAGUAAAUUAAUAAAUUAAAAAUAAGUUUCGGGUCAUUUCGGGUCGACCCGAAAUUUUCGAGUUCGGGUAAGGUAUUCUAGCCUAACCCGUUUCGGGUUGGCGGGUCCGGUUUGGAUCAGUGGAUUUUCUGUUAUACCUUAGUCUCAAGCCAACCCGUCAACCCGAUUUGAACCCGAUUGCCACCCCUAAUUAGUAUGCAUUUUAAUAUAGGGACCAAAAGUAUAGAACACAAAAUUAAAAUAUUAAAAGUAUAAAAUCAUUAAAGUUUGAUUGGCCAAAUAAGCUUUUUUGCCUGUUAAAAACCCACAUCUUUGAGAAUUAACUCCUCUACACGCAUUAAGACCUCUUUCCUGGUUCCUAGGGUAAGCUGGCAAGUUCAUUGUUAUCUUCUACAAGCAUUGCUCUUAUGCUUAGAUUUGCCCUUGGACGGGGAAGACUACAAUUUUGUGUGGGUGGGCUUGAGAUUUUCAAGACUAUUGACGUUUUUUGAAGACAGACUCUGACUUCCUUUGAUUUUAUCUAAUCAAAUAUCUUCAAUUUCGUGCAAUUACUAUAUAUAAGCUAUAAACCACAUGUCAUAUCUGCUACUCACAAAGUUACCUCGUCCUGUGCCGAUCAAGGUUACAUCAUUUUAUGUGAAUUUAGAAGAAAACAAUUGCAAAAUCACAAAAUUCAUCGUUGUAUGUUCUGUAGAUUAAUUUUUUCAAAGAUAUCUGGCAAUUUUUCAAUGUUUUGCUUCAUAUUCGAUAAUCAGAAAAGUCAAAACAAAAGAUUCAAAAAUUCCUGUUUGUUAAUACAGAGAGUGCGGACCUAACCAAGAAGUGCUAUGCGUCUAAAGUCUAGACGAGUCAUAAUUGGAGUUUUUAAACCUAGGCUGGAUAGGCUGAUGGUUAUUUUCAUUUUUCAACAAUUCUACUAGUAGGAGAGCUUUAGUUCGAUAGCAUAGGAUGCAUUUUUCCUUCACCUACUUAAAAGUGUACUUGCUUUAUUUAUUUAUUUUAGUAGGCAGAGUUGGUUAAAGAAGCUAUGAGGAAAAAGGGAUUUGAAUGUAAAACCUCUAAUUUUCUUUUUUCUUCACUUUCUCGGCAGUUAAGAGUAUACUUCCAUGUCUAUAUAUUUUGGUCCUCUAAAACGUCUAUUACAGCUCUUACUUUUCUUUCUUUUCCGCUGAUGUUGAUUAGUUAUUCUAAGCUUUCCGAUAGUUGCCCAUAUGCUCCAUAAUUUUUCAAAGUGCAACAGUCUCUCCUAAGAUUUGUGAUAGUUUUUAGAUAAAUCCAGCCUGCUACUUUUGAAUAAUUGUGAACUUAUGAGGUUUCUAAUCAAGUUGCGGUCUCCUCUACUGUUGAUCCUGGAAAACAGCAAAAAGAAAUUUAAAAAUUAAAGUUGCUUGCAAUUAACGUCAAAGUGCCCUGAUUAAGAAAGUUUUGAUCCAGUGCUAAGGUUGAAAUCUUAAGAAUUAGAGAUCUUAAGUUCAAAUCCUCCUUCCCCCUCUUACUUCUCAAAUCCCACUCUUUUCUUACUAAACAAAAAAUUAUUAAAAAAAAAAUUGCACUAAUAGAGAGUAUGACUGACUGCACUUGAAGUUUAGUUAACCUGAAUGAACCUCCUUCCUCCUCUUACUUGUGAAAUCCUCCUCUUUUCUUACUAAACAAAAAAUUAUUAUGAAAAAUUGCACUAAUAGAGAGUAUGACUAAGCGUACUUGAAGUUUUGUGUACUUGAAUGAACGACAGUUGCAUGACUUCAAAGAAAUCUCAAAGAACAACAAGAGAAGUAAUGAAAAACAUAACAAAUUUCAAGGGCAAGUGGUUCUUUUGGUGAUACUAAGCAAGACAAAGGAGAUUUGGAAGAAGUGCCGGUACUAAUAUUAUAAUUCUAAUGCUAGAACUAGUCAAAAUUUGUGAGUUUUUAGUGGACAACAAAAUUAUUAAGUUAUCUUAUAAAAUGGUAGAAAUUAAGAGGUUAUGCAAUUAUUGUAUCCCGAAGAAAUGCUCCUUUUGCUUAGAUAGGAGGUUAGAUUCUAGAUGUGAAUUGAUUAGUGAUUAUGCUUUAGGCAUAUUUCAAGAAGAGGAAUGGAUCAAUCCUCAGUAUAUCUAACACUUUUUGUAUAGAACUAUUUGAGCCUUUGCUCAUAUAAGUGUACAUCUUUUCCCAAUGAAUACAAAAUCUACCGUUGCAGAAAAAAAAAAUAUCUAGCAAUCUAAAAAAUUGUUGACUCUUAGGAGCUUCUUUUCUUGACUCUUAGCAAGGAAGAAAUACAUUAUUGGAGGGUGAGUUUAAUUCUUGGCUAGAAAAACAGCUUUUUCUUCUCUUUCUUCUCUAACUUAGCUUAGUGUAGUUUAGAUCUAGUCUUUAUUUUCCUUGAAAAAACUUGAAAAAAUCUUAGUAUAACAAUGUAUUUUUGAUAGCAAUGAAGAUGAUGAAACUUGGAAAUCUUGUUUCUUCACUUGAAUGAACAUUUCUUCCUCUAUACUCGCUUUGUUGUUUCAUUUGAUAAUGAUUAAUUUUAUGAUCUUUUUGAAUGUGUUUCAUAAUACUUUUGAGUCAAUUUGUAGAUUGAUUAGUAGAAGUUGUUCAUUUUUUUAUUUUAAUUUGCACCUUGAGUAAUAGAUGAAUUAGUUGUAAUUUUAUCAUUUGACUUGCAAAAUCUCUUUGUUUUGUAGGUAAAAUGAUCAAGUUUAAUUCGAAGUGAAAUGGUGAUCUAACAAAGCGAAGUUUGAGAAGUCAUAACAAUGUCUAAAAGAGGUGGUGCAAUUGAAGAAUGUUUCUUUAAAAAGAAAAAAAAAGAAAGAAAUCCUCGAGGGUUAUUCAGUGGAUUCUGCAAGGGAUUAUGGGCAGAAUGUUAACUUCAAAAAGAAAAGCAGAGAAUUACAUGCUCUGCAUAAUCCCUGGAAGAAUCCCUCGAGGGAUAAGUCACAACUGCAAUUUGCCAACUUAUAUGACUUUUGUUUCUUUUUCCAUAUUUGACAAGACUCAAAGGGACAACUUGUACCAACUUUUGGUGGAUUUAGAAACUUAUUUUGUUGACUCUUAGCAAGAAAGAAACGCAUUAUUGGGGGGAAAGAUUACUUCUUGGCCAAAAACAAGAACAACUUCUUCUUCUCUUUCCUCUCUAACUUAGCUUAAUUAGUGUAGUUUUAGAUCUAGAUUUUAUUUUUCUUAAAGAACCUGAAGAACUCUUAGUGUAACAAAGUAUUUUUGAUGGCAAUGAAAAUGAUGAAACUUGAAAAUCUUGUUUUUUCACUUGAAUAAACAUUUCUUUCUCUUAACUCUCUUUAUUGUUUCAUUAAUGCUUAGUUACAUUGAAAAUUUGAGUUUUAUUGUUAAAUCUAUUAUGUCUAGCUAAAUUUUCUUGUUCUAGGGAUAGAUGAAACUAUUUGUGCCUUAAUUAUGAUUGAAUCUAGUUGAUUAUUGCUAUAUCUACUUGCUAGUUCAUCUAUUCUUGGCUUAACACUUGUGAAUGUUUGAUUGCUAUUUGCAAACCAUAAUAGUUGUUGUUAAUCUAUGAAUAUAGUUGACAAUGAUGGAAAUGGAAUAUGUGGAGCCUAAGGAGUUGGCAGACGAAAGUAAUGGUACACUAAGGUGGAUGUUUUUGGCAUUUAUAGAUCUAGAUUAAGUCUUCACUUGUGACUUCAGCACGAAAGUAGGGAAACUAUAGUGGUGGCUAGAUGGCAAGAGCGAGUUCCGAUGGUUUGAGUGAAAUGCAUCCGUAGCAAGACAAGUGCAUUAGUGAUCACUGAUUAUUUUAUCCAUAAUUAGGUACAUUUAGUAGAUUCUAUACCCUAAAACAUUUGUGUUUGGUUGACUUUCUAUAAUUUGUUAAUUUUUGUUACAUUGUUUUAGCACUGUGGUUAUUUUAUUUAGUUAAAAAUUUUUGAUUAAUUAGAUAACAAAGUGAGUUAAAAGUCUUAACACUUGGAAAUGAUUCUCGUGAAAUCGAUUCUAACUCCCUAGUAAUACGAACCAUGACCUGCAUACUUACAGUAAAGGAGGAAAUUAGGUUAAAAUUUAGCAUGUAUGUUAGAACCUUGUCAACUGCUUUAAGCCAUGUUACAGUUUGUCUUUAGUAGUUUCAAGACUUUAUAGCGUAAAGGUAUCCAUGAAGAUAGUGCCAAAUGAUCAUCACCUAUGUGUUGAAAUAAUUUUAGCAUCUUUUUAUUUUUAGAGCUUUUAGGUGGUAGAUGUUAUAUGUCAUUUUCAAAGAGAGUGAAGUGUUUGAAGCAUUUUAUCGAAUGCCAAAAUCAUUAGCUAUGUAAAAAUACCACAAAGAAUGUAAAAAGUUUGACAUUCCUUUGUUUGAAAAGAGAAGAAACGCUGUUAAACAGUGAAGCAAUACAACGAUGAUAAACAAAUUUGACACUGUUUUGUCUUUAUUGAAAAAGAAAAAAGUACUAAAAGGUUCUUGCAAUAACCAAUUAAGUGAUAAAACACUUGAGAUAAUGCAAAUUUUUCAACUGGCCUAGCAAUAGAUUUUUAGCUUGGCAACAUAAGGUUCUGUAAAAGAUCCUAUCCAUAAAUUUUUAUUCUGUUCAUUCGCAUCGCUACCAUAUCGCCAUGCCUCUCCAUUUCCAGCCUCCAAUAUCUUCAAUAUAUCACCAUUUUGACUCAAUUUAACUAUCGAUCCGUAAGGAUUAACCUUGGUAUCCAGUGAUAUAACUGCAACCCAAAAUUCACCCUUUUGGUUUCUUUUGAUGUUAUCUGGUCUUCCUGGAAGUUUUGCAAAGAUUUCAACUGUACCAGCUUUUGAUGGCUCAAGGCAGUACUUCAGUAUUCUAGAAUUUGUAGUUUCAGCAACUAGCAGAAAAUCACCGUUUUUGCUGAGUGCCACCCCAUUUGGAAGCAUGAGAUUAUUGAGUAGAACUGUUGCUUGAUUAGUUUUUGGAUCAAACUUUAAUAAUCUUCCCGAUUUAUCCCCUGUACUUAUCACUAAAGUGGAAUUUCUGAAAUUUGGAGCACAAUAAUUAGUGUUACUGAUGUUGAGUAUAGAAGAAUAAUAGACCAAAAUAUUUUAUAUGUAUAUAUAUAUAUAUAUAUAUAUGAGCAACAAUGUAUUUCCUUAAAUAGUUGUGACUGAGUGAUGAGACUCAAGACAUUCUAAUCCUAGAUCAUUGUGCUUAGGCAUAUCAAUGGGUAAGGUUUGGAUUUGAUCAUUUAAUUCAGAUCUAGACACAUUAAAUUUAGUUAAAUCCAGACCCUUAUGGGUCUGAAAAGACAAGUCCAAACCUAAACCCUCAUGGAUUUGGGUAUCCAAUGAGUAUCCGUUGUAUUUUUCUAAACACACUAAAGUAAAAAUAUAUAGAUUUAAAAAAAUAUAUAAACACCAUCCGCAUUUUAUUUUCAAAUAAUAAAAUUAAUAUUCAAGAAGUUGAAUGCAAUAUUAUGAACUGAAAAAAUGACUAUUAUCGACUGCUUCUAUUUAUUUUUAAAAUUCAGCUGUAUUUACGUCCAAUCUUUUAUUUGUUUGCAUUUACUUUUUUUCCUUUUUCUAAAGAAUUUUGUACUAAUUACAAUGUUAACUAGGAUUAGUUUGAAAUAAGAAAACAAUCAUGAAAUCUUACUAUAUUCAAUCCAAUGACCAUAGAAUAUUAAAAUAUUUUAUAUAUAUAUAUAUAAUUUAAUUAUAUAUAUAUAUAUAUAUAUAUAUAUAUAUAUGUUUGGGUAAGGUCUGAUAUGGAUUUGAAUUUGGAUAUAGAUUAUAGAAAAUCCAAUACUAUCCAGACCCAUAACUCUUUUAUUGGAUCUAAGUCUGGAUAGCAUUUGGAUAGUGUCUGAAUUUGAUAAAUUAAAUUCAAACCCUAUCCAAAUACAUUGGAUCCAGGUUGGAUCUAGAUAAGAUCCGAUCAAUUGAUAUGUCUAAUUGUGCUAUUUGAACAAGCAUUCGAAUUAAUAGGAGGCUAAGCCAGGAAGGAAUUUUUGUAUUGUCAACUGGUGACACGAUUCUAGUUGAGCUUUUAAAACCUUUUUUUUUUCAAUUUUUCUUGCAAGGAAAGCAUAGAAUUCAAGAAGCGUGGAACUUUUAAAUCCUAAGUCCAAAUUGUAAACUCCAAAUGUCAUCCUCUACGUGUAAUUGGUUUCUGACGAACAAGUGUCUUACUUACGGCUUUGAUAACGCAAGUAGUUUAAAAUCCAUAUUUUGUUGAACAAACUUUUGUUCAUAAUGCAAGAAAGUUUAAACUCUUAGCUGUUCGGCUAUAUUACUGCUUGGUGGGUAGGGCCGUAAGGAAAUAGUAUCCUACAAGGAAUGUAGUAUCCAUUACCUUACUGAAUAUAUAGUGCUGCUGUCCGUGAAAUAUACUACGCCACUAUUUUCAUCAACAACUACAUCGUUGGUGAAUUUGAAAGGAACUCCUUCAGCUUCAUUUGCCAAUGGUGUAGCCAAUCCGCCAUUAGGACCUACUACCAGAAGGCCCUUGUAAGCAUCUGCAAUGUACAACUUACCAGACUUCCGAUUGAAACUUAGACCUAACGGCAGCCCACAUCUUGACUCGGUGGGAAUAUGAUCUUGCGGACCUUCACAACCAUUUCUGUUUCAAAACAGAUCAUCAUUUAAUUGUCUUGGACAAAAAUCAAGAGCACUAAAUAAAACAAGGAUUGAUUUUGUACAUACUGAGCACUUUAUAUUUUGGACAAAAAUAUGGUUGGAGAGAAAAAAAAAAUGUUUCAACAGUUUACCAUUAUAGGGGCAACUCUAUCCCUUACAUGGUUCAAAAUAUAAUCAAAGUUUCAUGGAUUUUUUUUUGUUUUCUUCAUUAUUUAGUUGAUGAAUUUCUUAAACCUACCAUGAGUUACAUAACAUGUAAUGUAAUCACAAAAGAGAAUGUGGUGGAGGGGUUGUGACGUGGGACGGAAAAAGUCAAGGUGUGACCCAAUGAUAAAUGCCAAAUUAAGUUUAAUAUCGCCUAGAAAUUUUUUUUCUUCAUAUAAUUAGAUUUAGUAUCAAUUAGGAAAUAUUUUCCUUCUUUCUAACUAGAUGUAAUAUUUAUUGGAAAUAUAUCCCGGUCCUUUUGAUGUAUUCCACGUUCUUUUGACGUAAAUCAAACAAUAUGAUAAAUUCAUUAACAAUUCCUCCCUUGCAAGAACCAAAAAAAAAAAACACAAUCUAUUAUAAAUUCAUCCAUUUGACAAUGUAUUUUGUGGAUUUUGUUUGCUGCCAAGUUUUUUUUUUAAUCCUUUUCUUAGUAGAAAAAUAGUGAAACGUAAGAAGUCAAAAGGGAAAGAAAUAAUUUGAAUCAAAACUUCAAAGCCUACGGACUUAUUGCAACAAAGCUGGGGUUGCUUUUGUCAUGCAUUAUUUACACCAAACAGAAACUAGGACUUCUUGUCGAUCUAUGUUUCCAGCUACGCUAAUUCAGAAAUGCAAAAAAUUGUUUUGCAAUUUUAGUCUCCAGGUUGUCAUGGUCGAAAUCGAUAUGUACAAAUACUCAAAGUUGGAAAAAUAUUGGGAUAGUGGUUGCGGAUUCUUUGUCACAAAAAAUGUUGGGAAAAUUAUUCUUAC
rnacentral:lncRNA from 1 species